rnacentral:misc_RNA from 1 species
AGACGAGGACUCGCUGUGUUGGCUGUUCUUGAGCUUCUGGGCUCAAGCAAUCCUCCCUCCUGAGCUUCCCAGAGUGCUAGGAUUACAGUGAAGACUAAGGGCCAAGCAUGAGCCUUUCUUCCUGCUCUUUUACCCUUGAGGCAGCAGGAGAGGAUAUUCACCUCCUGACAUGACAGAUUCUGACGCUAUCUGCUCCUCUGUGACUUUGGGAAGCGGGGUAUGUGCUGCUCCUGGGCUGAUGGGGGAAAGUGCCUCUCCCAGCAAUGCUGGUGCCACUUGGUGUGCUACGGCCCCCCAGGGCAGUGCGGAGCCAUCUGGGACAGUUAGACAAUGAGAGACGUGAAGCCAUUUCAAGGUGCUUCCUUGAAAAUGCUCCAGAAAAACAGCAGAGGCGGCCUCUCUGGGGAUCCGGUCCAGCCCUUGAAAAGAAUCUGUUUGUUUCACCACUGAACUCAAAUAAGCCAACAGAUUGAAGGAAGGGAGUUUCCACGCGCCCCUCCCCACCAAGCAGUUACCUGAGUUCCAGAGUCCAGUCCGAUGGAUCCCAUUUUACCCUGGUUUAAAUUGUUUCCUUAGAAAAAAAUAAACAGAACCUCUUCUCUCACUCUCCAGUGGAAAGUAUAGAAUCAAACGUAAAUGAAAAUGACAGUUUCUAACAUGCGCGACCUGGACACGCGGCUGAACUCCGAGCCUCAGCUGCAGAGUGGGGUCAAUGCACCUACCUUGCAGCGUCA